GACGCAGUGAAAAGACUGCCAUGGCAAAGGCUCAAAUGGUUGAAGUUCUUUGCUUUUUAAUAAUAUAAGUUCCCUAUAUUUUUCUUCGGGCUCCGGAUAUUUUUUGUUCAGGCAUCUAGGACAGCCGGUCAUUAUUUACUUUGAUUUUGUUCAGGCACCUCCACGGACAACCUGUGAGGUCCUGACCAUAGGAUAGACAGGCAACCAAAGUUUCCAAAAACACCCCGGCGCCAUGUACCGAGUUCACCUCUGUACCGAUAUCAAAAUAGAUUAAAGACCCAACUCUAACCUAAUCCAAUAAACUGUAGUGAAGACUACAGGCAGUAAAACACUGAUUAUGGGGAUCAAACAGACAGAUGAAGAUAUCAGUGGGAUAUUAUUGGAUAAGUUAGUACUAUUUAUAGAAAAUGAGAACCGCAUAUACAAUCUCGGUAUGAUGUGAACUCAGAUCAUGAAACCGGCAAGCUUUCGGUACCAACCGAUCACAAGAGAGGUUGCCAAGUGUGUGGAGACUACCCUUGCUCUGACAACAACCGAUCAUCUACACAAUAUUCGGCCUAAUGACUUCGUGAUCAUCUACAACACCAACCGGAGGUGGACCAACCAGAGGUGGACCGACCCUUUCCGCGUUCAGCUGACGACCCACACUGCAGUGAAGGUCGCGGAGCGGGCGACAUGGACCCAAGCAGAUGAUUGCCGACACCAGCUGAUGCUGAGACGGAGGCUGACCGAACAACGAAGCAGGAAACGACAAGGCCACUGAGUGAGGCGCCGUAAUAACAACUACACCGUCUAAGCUGGCUUCUCAGGUGCGGUGCACAAAGAAGCGUUCCUUUGCCUUGUGGGAUCACAGGAGCUGAUUGCCUAGAUUAAGCCCUGAGGACCCCGCCAACGUGGGAUUUUUGUUCUUCCUUUGCUUUGUUUAUAAGCCACACCCAUGGAAGGCUUAUAGCUAGGUGGAGGGUGGACAACCUCACACCCGGCUGCAAGAUGAUACAGUCACAAGGCCUUCCGCUGUGAUCAUCGAGGAACAGACUGAAGGUUCUGUACUCAUGAUGCCGCCAAUCAAGUGCGGUGAUUCUAACCAUGGUUCCACUAUUCUUCUGGCUAUUGAUGACCCCAGUUACCAAUGGGGCCACUGAACUCAGUCAAUGAACACGAGUGAUGUCCUUGAUGUAAAUGAUGAUUUUUGAUAGUAGUAGAGGUUGAUUUUUGAUGAUUCAUGCCAUUGAUAAUAACGAUGAAGUUUUUAAGGCUUAUUUCUACAUUUUUCUUGCUCUCUCAGAUAUGUCUGUGUCUCACAAAAGAAGAAUAUAUCCAAUGUAAGGUGUUCGUUUUCCGUUUUUCGUUUUCUAUACUGAAGCAAAAGAUCUUGAAUUGGAAAAACAAGGUGUUUUCCGUUGUUUCAUUUUGGUUUUGGAAACAUAUCAAAUAAUGAGUGUUUUUUUUUUUUUUUUUUUUUUUUUCAUGUUUUUUGUUACAUAAUAAAAACAAAUGAUACACGGAUUUGUGUACCCUU
rnacentral:lncRNA from 1 species